UUAAGCGACUAAGCGUACACGGUGGAUGCCCUGGCAGUCAGAGGCGAUGAAGGACGUGCUAAUCUGCGAUAAGCGUCGGUAAGGUGAUAUGAACCGUUAUAACCGGCGAUUUCCGAAUGGGGAAACCCAGUGUGAUUCGUCACACUAUCAUUAACUGAAUCCAUAGGUUAAUGAGGCGAACCGGGGGAACUGAAACAUCUAAGUACCCCGAGGAAAAGAAAUCAACCGAGAUUCCCCCAGUAGCGGCGAGCGAACGGGGAGCAGCCCAGAGCCUGAAUCAGUGUGUGUGUUAGUGGAAGCGUCUGGAAAGGCGCGCGAUACAGGGUGACAGCCCCGUACACAAAAAUGCACAUGCUGUGAGCUCGAUGAGUAGGGCGGGACACGUGGUAUCCUGUCUGAAUAUGGGGGGACCAUCCUCCAAGGCUAAAUACUCCUGACUGACCGAUAGUGAACCAGUACCGUGAGGGAAAGGCGAAAAGAACCCCGGCGAGGGGAGUGAAAAAGAACCUGAAACCGUGUACGUACAAGCAGUGGGAGCACGUUUAGGCGUGUGACUGCGUACCUUUUGUAUAAUGGGUCAGCGACUUAUAUUCUGUAGCAAGGUUAACCGAAUAGGGGAGCCGAAGGGAAACCGAGUCUUAACUGGGCGUUAAGUUGCAGGGUAUAGACCCGAAACCCGGUGAUCUAGCCAUGGGCAGGUUGAAGGUUGGGUAACACUAACUGGAGGACCGAACCGACUAAUGUUGAAAAAUUAGCGGAUGACUUGUGGCUGGGGGUGAAAGGCCAAUCAAACCGGGAGAUAGCUGGUUCUCCCCGAAAGCUAUUUAGGUAGCGCCUCGUGAAUUCAUCUCCGGGGGUAGAGCACUGUUUCGGCAAGGGGGUCAUCCCGACUUACCAACCCGAUGCAAACUACGAAUACCGGAGAAUGUUAUCACGGGAGACACACGGCGGGUGCUAACGUCCGUCGUGAAGAGGGAAACAACCCAGACCGCCAGCUAAGGUCCCAAAGUCAUGGUUAAGUGGGAAACGAUGUGGGAAGGCCCAGACAGCCAGGAUGUUGGCUUAGAAGCAGCCAUCAUUUAAAGAAAGCGUAAUAGCUCACUGGUCGAGUCGGCCUGCGCGGAAGAUGUAACGGGGCUAAACCAUGCACCGAAGCUGCGGCAGCGACGCUUAUGCGUUGUUGGGUAGGGGAGCGUUCUGUAAGCCUGCGAAGGUGUGCUGUGAGGCAUGCUGGAGGUAUCAGAAGUGCGAAUGCUGACAUAAGUAACGAUAAAGCGGGUGAAAAGCCCGCUCGCCGGAAGACCAAGGGUUCCUGUCCAACGUUAAUCGGGGCAGGGUGAGUCGACCCCUAAGGCGAGGCCGAAAGGCGUAGUCGAUGGGAAACAGGUUAAUAUUCCUGUACUUGGUGUUACUGCGAAGGGGGGACGGAGAAGGCUAUGUUGGCCGGGCGACGGUUGUCCCGGUUUAAGCGUGUAGGCUGGUUUUCCAGGCAAAUCCGGAAAAUCAAGGCUGAGGCGUGAUGACGAGGCACUACGGUGCUGAAGCAACAAAUGCCCUGCUUCCAGGAAAAGCCUCUAAGCAUCAGGUAACAUCAAAUCGUACCCCAAACCGACACAGGUGGUCAGGUAGAGAAUACCAAGGCGCUUGAGAGAACUCGGGUGAAGGAACUAGGCAAAAUGGUGCCGUAACUUCGGGAGAAGGCACGCUGAUAUGUAGGUGAAGCGACUUGCUCGUGGAGCUGAAAUCAGUCGAAGAUACCAGCUGGCUGCAACUGUUUAUUAAAAACACAGCACUGUGCAAACACGAAAGUGGACGUAUACGGUGUGACGCCUGCCCGGUGCCGGAAGGUUAAUUGAUGGGGUUAGCGCAAGCGAAGCUCUUGAUCGAAGCCCCGGUAAACGGCGGCCGUAACUAUAACGGUCCUAAGGUAGCGAAAUUCCUUGUCGGGUAAGUUCCGACCUGCACGAAUGGCGUAAUGAUGGCCAGGCUGUCUCCACCCGAGACUCAGUGAAAUUGAACUCGCUGUGAAGAUGCAGUGUACCCGCGGCAAGACGGAAAGACCCCGUGAACCUUUACUAUAGCUUGACACUGAACAUUGAGCCUUGAUGUGUAGGAUAGGUGGGAGGCUUUGAAGUGUGGACGCCAGUCUGCAUGGAGCCGACCUUGAAAUACCACCCUUUAAUGUUUGAUGUUCUAACGUUGACCCGUGAUCCGGGUUGCGGACAGUGUCUGGUGGGUAGUUUGACUGGGGCGGUCUCCUCCUAAAGAGUAACGGAGGAGCACGAAGGUUGGCUAAUCCUGGUCGGACAUCAGGAGGUUAGUGCAAUGGCAUAAGCCAGCUUGACUGCGAGCGUGACGGCGCGAGCAGGUGCGAAAGCAGGUCAUAGUGAUCCGGUGGUUCUGAAUGGAAGGGCCAUCGCUCAACGGAUAAAAGGUACUCCGGGGAUAACAGGCUGAUACCGCCCAAGAGUUCAUAUCGACGGCGGUGUUUGGCACCUCGAUGUCGGCUCAUCACAUCCUGGGGCUGAAGUAGGUCCCAAGGGUAUGGCUGUUCGCCAUUUAAAGUGGUACGCGAGCUGGGUUUAGAACGUCGUGAGACAGUUCGGUCCCUAUCUGCCGUGGGCGCUGGAGAACUGAGGGGGGCUGCUCCUAGUACGAGAGGACCGGAGUGGACGCAUCACUGGUGUUCGGGUUGUCAUGCCAAUGGCACUGCCCGGUAGCUAAAUGCGGAAGAGAUAAGUGCUGAAAGCAUCUAAGCACGAAACUUGCCCCGAGAUGAGUUCUCCCUGACUCCUUGAGAGUCCUGAAGGAACGUUGAAGACGACGACGUUGAUAGGCCGGGUGUGUAAGCGCAGCGAUGCGUUGAGCUAACCGGUACUAAUGAACCGUGAGGCUUAACCUU
rnacentral:rRNA from 1 species